UACAGAGGGUGCAAACGUUGUUCGGAUUUAUUGGGCGUAAAGCGCGUGUAGGCGGUUUCUUAAGUCUGAUGUGAAAGCCCUGGGCUCAACCCAGGAAGUGCAUUGGAUACUGGGAGACUUGAAUACGGGAGAGGGUAGUGGAAUUCCUAGUGUAGGAGUGAAAUCCGUAGAUAUUAGGAGGAACACCGGUGGCGAAGGCGGCUACCUGGACCGAUAUUGACGCUGAGACGCGAAAGCGUGGGGAGCAAACAGG
rnacentral:rRNA from 1 species